rnacentral:rRNA from 1 species
AUUGAACGCUGGCGGCAUGCCUUACACAUGCAAGUCGAACGGUAACAGGUUAAGCUGACGAGUGGCGAACGGGUGAGUAAUGUAUCGGAACGUGCCCAGUCGUGGGGGAUAACUACUCGAAAGAGUGGCUAAUACCGCAUACGACCUGAGGGUGAAAGUGGGGGACCGUAAGGCCUCGCGCGAUUGGAGCGGCAGAUAUCAGAUUAGCUAGUUGGUGGGGUAAAAGCCCACCAAGGCUACGAUCUGUAGCUGGUCUGAGAGGACGACCAGCCACACUGGGACUGAGACACGGCCCAGACUCCUACGGGAGGCAGCAGUGGGGAAUUUUGGACAAUGGACGCAAGUCUGAUCCAGCCAUGCCGCGUGCGGGAAGAAGGCCUUCGGGUUGUAAACCGCUUUUGUCAGGGAAGAAACGAGUUUCUCUAAUACAGAGACUUAAUGACGGUACCUGAAGAAUAAGGACCGGCUAACUACGUGCCAGCAGCCGCCGUAAGAC